AAAAACUUAGGAUAAUUAAGACCAAAAGCCUUCAAAGCUUUAAGCAGAAGUUAAAAUCUUCUAGUUUUUG
rnacentral:tRNA from 1 species